rnacentral:misc_RNA from 1 species
AUUUCAGGCAGAAAUCGAGUUGCAGUGCCGAGCAGCCCUCAUUAUCAGGUUAUGCAAUAUGCACAUAUAGGUAGUUAUGGUAGCCUAGGAAGUCAUGGCAGCUACCACGAUGGUGCUGCGCUUGGUAGUAGUUAUGGAAGUUAUGGUGAUAACAGUAAUCUCCAUGCAUUUUAUUCACCUGCGGGUCCAUCAGGGAUGCAUCUCUAUGCACAGAAUGGUGUAUCAAUUCUUGGGAGCAGUCCAGACACCAGGAGAUUUAAGCAGCUUCCUCAUGGGAAUGGGCUUGGUGUCAGCCCAGGAAAUUUUGUUCCGAUGUCUCUUGGAACGAGUCCUUCACAAUUUACUCCUCCUAGCAUGUAUACUCAGAUCUCCGCUGGUUCUCCAGGAAAUUAUGGUCCUUCGUCACCAUCGAGGGGUAGUUGUCAUGGAUCACCUUUAGGGAAGAUGGCAGCAGGUAGCCAGUAUAAUAGAAGAAAAGGGUGGGCAUAUCCAGGUAGCUAUCAGUCUCAAGAAAUAUCAUCAUCCUCGCACUGGCAAGGGCAGGUUGCAGAUGGCAACAACUAUAGCCAAGCCAAUUCUCCAGUUUUUGGUGGCUCUCUGAUGCAUAUACACAGUAACUCAAACCCCAGACAGAAAGCAUCAAACAGUGUGAAUGUUGGUUUCUCUAAUGCACAUAAUAUUACAAGUCCAUCAAUGCUAGGUGGGCAUGCACAAUUCCAGAAAACCCAGGGUGAUAAACCUGAUACUAGUAACUCAUUGCCUGAUCCUGGCGAUUGGGAUCCCAAUUAUAGUGAAGAACUGCUUCUGCAAGAAGAUAGCUCAGAAAUGAGCAGCUUAUCUAGUGAAUUCUCCAAGGGGAUGCAUCUUGGUCAAGCUGGGGUCUCUCAAGAACCAUUUACUGGAAUGAGAAGACCAAACCAGAUAUCUAAUCUGAAUCCCAGUAUGUCUCAGAGAGCUACUGGGCAUACUCAAGCAUUUUUACCAGGAGAGGUAGGAAGCCCUGCUUCAGGUCAUGAGCUGCAUGGUAGAUAUAUGCAUAACAUGGUUAAUCCAUCAUAUUUGAUGCCUCAUUUUGCACAAAGUUCUCCAAGCCGCUUGGGGCAACAGCCCCCUCUUCACCGAUUUAACCAGGGGAGAGCAACAGCUGUUCAUUAUAGUGAAGGUCAUGCAAUGGCGCAGUCAUCUCAUUCUACCUAUAAUGCGGAUAAUCCACUUUCUGCUGUAAGAAAUGGUGCAUCAUGGGGGCGUAGAGGUAGCAAUCCUCUUCCAAACAUUCCACCAACAUCGCGGACUAGAAAAGAUUACAAAAGAAUUGCUUAGCUUAUUGUUGCUUUCAUCGGGGAUUAGUGCAAAGAGCUGAUCAAACAAAUUAAAAAAGUGGCAAAGCUUGUGUUACAAAUCCUCAUCAAUGUCAUUUUGUAGUGCUUGGUUAAAUGUUAAAUGGUUAUAACACCACCAUGAUCUGGUCACACCUUGUUGUCAUCACCAUGCUCGAUCUCUGGGAUCUUGGAAUUCUGCUUUCUCCUCCCGGUUCCGAAAGGACCAAAAUAUAUGAAUGUCAACUCCCUGGAUCUAAUUUAUUGCAAGAAAACUCUAACCAGGUUGCCUGUUAGUAUUGUUGCUCCAAGUGGGUUAUAAUUAUUUGUUUGAACAAAGCUUGGUUGUGUUUGAGUAGAGGGUGGAGACUCAUAGUUUAAGGUUUAUUUGUUAGCAAUCUUGUAAACUUAAAAGCAGGAAUCUUGAUUCCUUGUAAGUUGGAUAUUUAUUUCAAUAUCCUAUUAACAGAUCAAUGUGACUCCUCAUGAAUUAAUGG